rnacentral:rRNA from 1 species
GACGAACGCUGGCGGCGUGCUUAACACAUGCAAGUCGAACGGUGAAGCGCCUUCCUUUUUGGUGGGUGUGGAUGAGUGGCGAACGGGUGAGUAACACGUGAGUAACCUGCCCCCUUCUUCUGGAUAACCGCAUGAAAGUUUGGCUAAUACGGGAUAUUCUGGGUCUGUCGGAUGAUGGGUCUGGGAAAGAUAUUGUUUCGGUAGGUGAUGGUCUCGCGGCCUAUCAGGUUGUUGGUGGGGUGAUGGCCUACCAAGGCGGUGACGGGUAGCCGGCCUGGGAGGGUGGGCCGUCACACAGGGACUGCGCCGCGCAGACGCCUACUAGAGGCAGCAGUGGGGAGGAAUAUUGCACGAUGGGAGGACGGAUGAUGCCGCGCCGCGGCGUGGGAGAUGGUGUCCUUCGUGUUGUGAACUUCUAUCGGGAGUGAAGCAGGCUUGCCUAGUUUGUGGGUGGGUUGACGGUAGCUGGAGAAGAAGCGCCGGCUAACUACGUG